rnacentral:rRNA from 1 species
UUCAUGGAGAGUUUGAUCCUGGCUCAGGACGAACGCUGGCGGCGUGCCUAAUACAUGCAAGUCGAGCGGACAGAUGGGAGCUUGCUCCCUGAUGUUAGCGGCGGACGGGUGAGUAACACGUGGGUAACCUGCCUGUAAGACUGGGAUAACUCCGGGAAACCGGGGCUAAUACCGGAUGCUUAAUUGAACCGCAUGGUUCAAUUAUAAAAGGUGGCUUUUAGCUACCACUUACAGAUGGACCCGCGGCGCAUUAGCUAGUUGGUGAGGUAACGGCUCACCAAGGCAACGAUGCGUAGCCGACCUGAGAGGGUGAUCGGCCACACUGGGACUGAGACACGGCCCAGACUCCUACGGGAGGCAGCAGUAGGGAAU